AUGAAAUUAAGUUAGUUUAGACUGGGUGUUUUCAAAACAUUUAGCGAUAUAUUUUAUCAUUUCAUG
rnacentral:tRNA from 1 species